UACGUAGGGUGCAAGCGUUGUCCGGAAUUAUUGGGCGUAAAGAGCUCGUAGGCGGUUUGUUGCGUCGGCUGUGAAAUCUCGAGGCUCAACCUCGGGUCUGCAGUCGAUACGAGCAAACUAGAGUGUUGCAGGGGAGACUGGAAUUCCUGGUGUAGCGGUGAAAUGCGCAGAGAUCGGGAGGAACACCCGUAGCGAAGGCGGCACUCUGGGCCGGUAUUGACGCUGAUGCGCGAAAGCCAGGGGAGCAAACGGG
rnacentral:rRNA from 1 species